AGUGAACGCUGGCGGUAGGCCUAACACAUGCAAGUCGAACGGCAGCACAGUAAGAGCUUGCUCUUACGGGUGGCGAGUGGCGGACGGGUGAGGAAUACAUCGGAAUCUACUUUUUCGUGGGGAUAACGUAGGGAAACUUACGCUAAUACCGCAUACGACCUACGGGUGAAAGCAGGGGAUCUUCGGACCUUGCGCGAUUGAAUGAGCCGAUGUCGGAUUAGCUAGUUGGCGGGGUAAAGGCCCACCAAGGCGACGAUCCGUAGCUGGUCUGAGAGGAUGAUCAGCCACACUGGAACUGAGACACGGUCCAGACUCCUACGGGAGGCAGCAGUGGGGAAUAUUGGACAAUGGGCGCAAGCCUGAUCCAGCCAUACCGCGUGGGUGAAGAAGGCCUUCGGGUUGUAAAGCCCUUUUGUUGGGAAAGAAAAGCAGCAGGUUAAUACCCCGCUGUCCUGACGGUACCCAAAGAAUAAGCACCGGCUAACUUCGUG
rnacentral:rRNA from 1 species